UAAGCACCGGGCUAACUACGUGCAGCAGCCCCGGUAAUACGUAAGGGUGCAAGCGUUAAUCGGAAUUACUGGGCGUAAAGCGCGCGCAGGCGGUUUUGCAAGUCUGUCGUGAAAGCCCCGGGCUCAACCUGGGAAUUGCGAKGGAGACUGCAAGGCUUGAAUCUGGCAGAGGGGGGUAGAAUUCCACGUGUAGCAGUGAAAUGCGUAGAGAUGGGGAGGAACACCGAUGGCGAAGGCAGCCCCCUGGGUCAAGAUUGACGCUCAUGCACGAAAGCGUGGGGAGCAAAACAGGAUUAGAUACCCUGGUAGUCCACGCCCUAAACGAUGUCUACUAGUUGUCGGGUUUUAAUUAACUUGGUAACGCAGCUAACGCGUGAAGUAGACCGCCUGGGGAGUACGGUCGCAAGAUUAAAACUCAAAGGAAUUGACGGGGACCCGCACAAGCGGUGGAUGAUGUGGAUUAAUUCGAUGCAACGCGAAAAACCUUACCUACCCUUGACAUGUACGGAAGCUCGGAGAGAUCUGAGUGUGCUCGAAAGAGAGCCGUAACACAGGUGCUGCAUGGCUGUCGUCAGCUCGUGUCGUGAGAUGUUGGGUUAAGUCCCGCAACGAGCGCAACCCUUGUCAUUAGUUGCUACGCAAGAGCACUCUAAUGAGACUGCCGGUGACAAACCGGAGGAAGGUGGGGAUGACGUCAAGUCCUCAUGGCCCUUAUGGGUAGGGCUUCACACGUCAUACAAUGGUACAUACAGAGGGCCGCCAACCCGCGAGGGGGAGCUAAUCCCAGAAAGUGUAUCGUAGUCCGGAUCGCAGUCUGCAACUCGACUGCGUGAAGUUGGAAUCGCUAGUAAUCGCGGAUCAGCAUGUCGCGGUGAAUACGUUCCCGGGUCUUGUACACACCGCCCGUCACACCAUGGGAGCGGGUUUUACCAGAAGUAGGUAGCUUAACCGCAAGGAGGGCGCUUACCA
rnacentral:rRNA from 1 species